GUUUAAUCUUUAUUAACUCCGUCAUGCCUAGGGAUGCAUUUAAGAUAUUAAAUAUUUUCAAUUACUAGAAGGACCCCAGUAUAGGAUGCAGACAAUAAAGGUUGUGAGGCUUAACUAGAGAUAUGCAGGGCUCCUCCCUGCUCUGCCGGCCUAGGCCCUCUAGCCCCCUGGAGGGGCAUCAUGCCCUUGUUUGGCUCUCCCAAACAAUCAUCUGAACUAAACAAAGUCGAUUCCUGAUCUUGCUGUCUGGAUCCUGCUUAGCUGUUGCGACUGAAAAUGAGUGUGACUUCGGGAACCAAGCCUCAUUAAGGCUUCAGUUUCAGAAAUGAUCUCCAUACAAAGUGCUCAUGUGCAGGCUUUAUUUUGUGAGAACAAACCAACAGCUCUAAGGGUGGAAGCUGGGAGCAGAGUGGACAGAGCACAGACUUGGAGACAGAACUGGGUUCGUUUCUACCUACUCCCUGUUGACCUUGGAAAAGUUAACUGCA